AAUCUGGGUCAUUAGAAGUUUCUGCAUGUCUGAUACAGGCCCUUCUUGAAUUUUCGUUAGUCUUGUUGCCUUCAGUGAAGCAGAUCCUUUAACAGCUUCUGUCACUUUGUUCUUGAUCUUCAAGAUCGGAGCUAUGGUGGAAUAGGAUGUGCCCCACUGGGGCCAUGACGAACAAAACAACAUGGGAUUAAAUCAGGCACAAGAGGAAAUGAUGCAAUCAAGAGACACGGAAGACAUGAGAUGUGUGAGGCUGCUGAUGGUGUAACACGGCGUACUGUUUCACAGUAAACAUUUUUUUUUUUGCUGCGGGCAGCCUUCUCUUUCUCUUAGGAGCCGUGCGCAUUCGUGGCGAUUGAUCUCUGCAUGGAGCUGUCAGUUUCCUGACCGGGAUUUUGUACACAAGAAGAUGGAGCUAGAUUUGAGCAUCACUUGAAGGUCUUCUCUAGAUCCGACGUGGACGAAUCCUUGUCCUUUCAGUAAUCAUUUGAAAU
rnacentral:lncRNA from 1 species